ACAAUGACAUUUAAUUUAACACUUAAUUUGGCAUAACAAUUGGAUUUAAAUUUCCCUCCAGGAACUUUCUGUGCCACAUUGGUGAUGUUUGGCUUACGAGUGUCAUUCAGAGUUGAACAAUAUGUUAAGGACAUUUCUGCCCGAACGAUGAUCUCAGUUAGAACAGAGUGGAAGGAAUGUGUCGCGACAUAGUAACACCGAUGUAAAUAUUUAAUAAACUUUUUGACUUUGAGUGUUUUGGACAAAUUUGAGCCUUGCCAAAGUUUUGUGAGCGAAAUUUGUUUACAAUUUAACCUUGGCGUCAAUCUGGUGUUGUGAGGAAGAGGAAAUGGGAAACCCAAGAUGUAAAUCCAUCCGGCAUCUUGGCAACAGAGAUGACAAGCCCAGAGAAUACAAUACAUUUGGUCAACAUGUGCUCAAGGAUUAUAUGCUCGUGCAAAUAAUUUAAAUAUUCAAUUAAAAAUUGUGUAAAUUUGUUUU